GGCUGGAAGCCAAAGCCCAGCUGCAGCCACUGCCCAAAGCUGAGAAAAACUGGGAACAGGAUUCUUCAUGGUCAUUUUUUCUUUUCUCACAUCCAGCCUCUGGAAGGACACUGCACCCAGCCUUGGGGGAAGAGCUCAGAUAGAAGCAUGGGUCCAGAGCAAAGGGAAGCACAGUCUUAGUAAGAAGACCCCUUGAAGGCAGAGAAGAAAAGUAGUGGAGACUCUGCUUUUGGUGAAGGAGUGGGUAUACCGGUCUAGUUAAUAACAGUGUGCCGCUUCGAGUGUUGGUAGAGAAACUUCUUCAAAUUGUCAGUCUUCAAGAAGAAUGUGAUCUAUCCCUUGGGACGCUGAGACAGGAGGAUCUCGAGUUCUAAGCCAGCCUGGACAACAUAAGGAGACUCUGUCUUAUUAAAAAGAGAAUGUUUAUCCUGUUUCCAUUUCUAUCUAUACCAAAAGCAUAUUGUAAAUGUACUGUCUGGGUUUUAUAAUGGGAGUGUUUAAUGUGAAUAUAAAUACUUCUUUAAAAGGCAAAUUUUAAUGUGAAUGAUCCUUGGAGGAAACCAAUGCAUUUCAGUUACGUAAAUUUUUUGAAUGGCAAUUUGAAUUCUUUUUACCCAUAAGUUUUUUUUUUUCUCUGAAAUUAAAAUGUUCCAAUAGUACUUAGAAGGGAUAGAUUAAUGUUUGCUUUUUCAAAGUGAUGAUAGUUGUCUUGAAAAGCUUGGUUGUUUUUUCAACAGUUGCCUGUGUUUACCUCCAGUACAACUGUGAGAUACCGCUCAUGCAGGACCUACAUCAACGCUUUUGUCAGCUUUCUUGACCAAAUUCAUAGGUCAAGAAAUUGAACCUUGCCAGCUCUGCCAGGAACUCUUCUCAGCACAUUCCCUCCCUUUCCUGUCCUGGAUAAAGAACUCUUGAGUCACAACGCUCUUUUUAUUACGCGUCGGUAAUGGUAAUGGCUUCCUGGCCACACUAGAACAAAAGUUGGCUUUAUAACAUUUGACAGCAGAAUUCAUUUCUACAGUCUUCAAGAAGGUCUCUCCCAACCACAGAUGCUAAUAGUUUCAGACAUUGAAGGUAUGUGUUUCACUCUUACAUUUAUUGAUCUGCCUUAGGAAUUUUCUAUUUUAGAAAUAGUUCAUGACCAUUUGCCAAAUUAGCAGUGUAUGGUAUGAGUCUAUGAAGGAAAAUCUUGACUACAAAGUCAUUAGUUUGUUGGAGUUGUAAGAGUCCUUCAACCCAAUCUCUGUUUUGGAAAAGAGGUAACAGGUUUGGAGGUAAAGUGAAUUCUGAAUAACAAAACAAAAUCGAGCUAAUGUUAGAAUUUGGAUUAAAUUUAGAAUCUCUUUCCUGUUCUUCCCAUUCGUUCAUUCACUCAAAAAUUAUUUGAGGGCUGUCGAUGUAGAAUGCUUGAUUAACAUGCAGAAGACUCUGUGUUUAGCUGGGAACCAGUGGCUCACAUCUUUAAUCCUAGCUACUUGGGAGGCUAGCCCAGGCAAAUAG